rnacentral:lncRNA from 1 species
AAUCGCCUGGUCGCCGUCAGGUGCCGGCCCAGGUGGCAGGCGCGCCCGUUGGGCACUGGGGGACGCGGGCGCGUCAGGUGAAGACUGGGGGCUGCAGGCGCGCUAGGAGAACUAUGCCAUUUUUGGGUCAGGACUGGAGAUCUCCUGGAUGGAGUUGGAUUAAGACAGAAGAUGGCUGGAAGAAUUGUGAAUCUUGUAGUCAGAAACUUGAAAGAGAGAAUAACCAUUGUAACAUCAGUCACAGCAUUAUCUUAAAUAGCGAAGAUGGAGAAAUACUCAAUAAUGAAGAGCAUGAAUAUGCAUCCAAAAAAAGAAAAAGGACCAUUUUAGAAAUGACACAAAUACUCAAACUGAUCCAUAUGAAUUCCUCUUAUUAAGAAAAAUAAAGCAUCCAGGAUUCAAUGAAGAACUGACUAUCACCUUGUUAAUCAUUCAGAAACAUGUUGCAGACUUAAGCCAUUUUUGAUAUAGAUACUGAAACAAUUACUUGCUAAGAGCAAACUUGAAGUAACAAUUUGGACAAGACAGCAAAUGCUAUUGUCGAAGUUUUCUAAAGAAGAAUCUGAAGUGAAAUGACAUCAAGAGACCUAUCAAGACCUGUAUCCAGGAAAAGACCAAACCAAUGCAGACCAAACCAAUGCAGAACUCCUAUGUGCUGAUGGUGGUCUUACAUUUCCCUAAGUUUCUGCCGACUAAACUGUGCACACGUUCUCAGGACCUCCUGAAGCUGCGUCACAGGCACUAAUCAAAGAACACAACCAAGAGUUUGGCCUUUUCUUCAGCACUGGGAAUUGUGAUCCAAAGCUUUUCCUGAUGAAGCACAAAGUUGGAGAAAAAAAAGCAAACUAAACAACAACAAUGAAACAGAACAGAGUUAAUCUGCUGUAGCUCAAGAGAGGAUGUACCUGCCCCCACCCCGCAUCCCUGGGCUCGGGUUUGCCUUGCUGACCUCUGCUG